rnacentral:lncRNA from 1 species
AGUUUAAUGGCCAUGGAGCCAAAGUCUUUACAGUCAGUUUCAUACGAAUGGGCUCCAUGGGAUUCCUAUCUGGGGUAUAACACAUUCAAACAAAUCUACCGAACCCCAGGCAGAAAAGCACGAAUGAAGCUUUUCUGCAGGUAAAAAAUAUGUCUUUUAACAUGGGGCCAUAGUCCAAAGGCAGCAGGCGAGCAACCAGGC